UUCACCUGUGUUUGCCCUACAAUGACAUUUCAAAAUGGCUGCUGUGAGAAGGGCCUAUAAGCCAAGCCUCUCAGCUUGUUCAGGCUAUUAACUCCAGGUCCAUUCACUGUCCACAAACUUUACCUCAAGAGGGAUGCUGGAGUUCUACUUCUGAGAUGCCAGGGAAUCACUGCUUCACCUCACAAAAGCAAACGCAAAGACAGCUGGAGUAGUAUCCACAUCACACCUGAAUAAGAAGCUUCCUCCUGGUGAGCCUGAAAUACCACAAGGCGCACGUGUCACUGGCACUGGAGCGAGUGGGUGUAAUCAUACUGCAAUGAAGGAAGAACUUAAGGCAUGUCAGCUGCAUUCACAACAAGCAGGAUAACAUCCUCCUCCACCAGUGACCCAAAAGGAACCCGGUAACUGUCUCUCCUCUCAAGGAAGAAACUUUCAAAACCACGUUUUCACAAUGGUAAUAAAAGAGAGCAAACUUUCACCGGACAAAGACAUAUCAUAGAAUUGUUCUAAGAUUAUAUUAUGCCUCCUCUUAGCAGAUGUGAACUAAUUAUUGUUUAGGAAUGUCCAAUAAUAAUGGAUAGAUCCACAUGCAAACAUCUACAGACCUAACAGAAAAUGUAAUUCUGGAUUUUGCCACAGGUCAAUAGUUUGGAUCGUGGUUAAAGAAUCAUACUCAUGUCCAUAUUUCCUGGUGCAAGGAAUUAAAUCAAUAACCCACUGAUGACAAAUAUGAUUUCUGUGACUGCUGGCAUGAGCAACUGGGAGGUGGUACCUUUUUCACCAUAGUUGGCACGCGUCCAUCAAGGACAUUAUUGUACGUAUUUCAUAAAGAAGGAAUCUAGGUCGGCAAGAACAAGUGUUUCCAUGUAGAAAAAUGUCCCUAGCCUUAAGAAUGCAGGUUUAAUGUUUAAUGCCACUUGAAUUACAAUUAUGUGUGGCCAGUCCAAAUGUAAAGCAUUAACAAUAACAUGAUCACCAAGAUACUGUAGGCAAUCCACAAGUGUAGAUGUAGAAAAAUAUAUUUAUUUUAAAGAAUGAGAAAAAUAAUGUGAAAAUGUGAUGUUUAUGUAUUAAAAUCAUGGUUUGUUGCUAGAAUAAAACAAUAA